GCGUAUGAAACCCUAGCCGUAUCACGAGUCCACGAUUGGAGGCGGCACCUCUGCGAGGGUCAGGUCUCUUAGAAUUGAUAAUUGUGUCGGUGUUUGUUGUUGUUGUUAUUGCCUCUUUAGAGUAGCCUUAUGAAUUGAUUUGGAUUUCAUAUAUGUGGGCUUAGUUAGGAGGCAAACAUUAAUCUCAAUCCAACAUGUUUUGUGUUGGAUUGAGCGAGGCGUUUUUGAGGGGACUCUCUGCUCUUUCUCAGUUCAGUUGUCCUCCAAGCACCCUCAUACAUUAUUAAUCUCUUUCUCUUUCUCUCUUCUUAUAUCUGCCUCACGAAUAAUCAUACUGUGAAUCCACACAGUUUGGUUCAGACAGGGGCGCACAGCGAUUCGAUUCGAUGCGAUUCAAGGGUGUGACCAGAUCGAUGUGUUCAUCCUUUGUUGCUUUUGCAACUCCGCUUGCUUCGGACAUUUGAUUUGAUUUGAUUUUGCUGUUUCUUUUGAUUGUUUGGGCCUCAGAAAAACCGAAAGGUUGAUCUUGAUACGGCGCCGUUCGGUCCUCACUGAGAAGAGAGGCUCAGAGUUAAGAGGGUUUAGCCUCCCGAAUCGGUUUGAGGGUUAGGGAUGAAAUCAGCUUUCCAUUCCUUUCCUAUAGGAUUUUCGGAGAUUUUUUUUUAUUUUCCCUGCAACUUCAACUUGGGUGGGUUUUUGUUAGAUAAACCGGAACAAAUGUUUACCCUUGACCCAUUUUAACUUGAGGAUGUUAGCAAUGACAGAUUGGUUGACG
rnacentral:lncRNA from 1 species